rnacentral:rRNA from 1 species
UACGUAGGGGGCGAGCGUUGUCCGGAAUUACUGGGCGUAAAGGGCGUGUAGGCGGCCUGUUAAGUCAGGCGUGAAAACCCCGGGCUUAACCUGGGGAUUGCGUUUGAAACUGGCGGGCUUGAGGGCAGGAGAGGAAAGUGGAAUUCCCGGUGUAGCGGUGAUAUGCGUAGAUACCGGGAGGAACACCAGUGGCGAAGGCGGCUUUCUGGACUGCACCUGACGCUGAGGCGCGAAAGCCAGGGGAGCGAACGGGAUUAGAUACCCCGGUAGUCCUGGCCGUAAACGAUGGGUACUAGGUGUGGGAGGUAUCGACUCCUUCCGUGCCGGAGUUAACACAAUAAGUACCCCGCCUGGGGAGUACGGCCGCAAGGCUGAAACUCAAAGGAAUUGACGGGGGCCCGCACAAGCGGUGGAGCAUGUGGUUUAAUUCGAUGCAACGCGAAGAACCUUACCAGGUCUUGACAUCUUCCUGACCGGUAUGGAAACAUACCUUUCCUUCGGGACGGGAAGACAGGUGGUGCAUGGCU